ensembl:lncRNA
AUAGCCAGGGAGGUGAGGCUGUGGUGGCAUGAACAUGUCAAGCCGGAAUAGUACAAGAAUAGUAAAGAGACUUAAUUCUUCCUACUUACAUAAGAUUACAUGCUGAGACGGUGAGAUGAUGACAAGAGGUACAUUUUCCCCUCUGCUUCUUGGCUGACAGAAGGCUUGAGCAGAAGUGAGAUGAACAAGAAAAUUACCCGGAAACUUUGAACCUAAAGCAAUUAAACCGAAAAAGGAAGGGAUGAUGAUGACACUGAAGUAGAGGAAAUUCCUGUAAAGGAAACAGAGACUCAACAGCGUUCAGCUAAACCUUACCACAAUUCGUACCACGUAGUGUAAGAUGUGCAGGAAAUUACUUUAAAACCACAUUAGCCUCCUUUGCAUAUGUGUUGAUUUUAAGUGACACGGCAUCCUAAAUUGCUGAACUACGGAUAUGAUAGUAGGGGCGCACACAUGGCUGGAGAAGACAGAGAGGCAGAUAAUGUUAUCCAGGGAAAGACUGCUUUGAUUUUCCUGCCAAAUACUGACAAGAUAAAAGCAAG